GUAAGAUGAUGGGACUUGCAUAUUGUAAGACAUGGGAGUAAUCCCAGUAAUUCAGAUGAAAAAACACUAAUCUGAGUUAAUGAUGACUGAGACAUAAUGAACUCAUGUAGAGCAUCCCCUACUCUUCAGCUGGGCUAAAUUGCUAAUAGGGACGUUAAUUGGAUGAGGGCUCUUAUGAGCUGCAGCUGAAGUUGGACCCAUCAGUGCCUUUAUCUGACAAACCAACCGGCUCAGCUCUGCCACGUCAGCAUACAUGUGAAGUCUUCUCUUUCCGUCUAGUCGGUAAGCCUAUUCCACCAAGUCUAGAUGGAUUUUCCAGCUGCCUUGUGAUUUGAUUAACCCAAGUUAAUUCUCAUCAGAUGAUUUGAAACAGUCUGGUCCAACUUCUUCAGAUACCUUGGUAGUUGCAAACUGAUCUCUACCUACUCAGAACUACCCAGGAUCACUUCCUAUAAUUCAGAUCAUCUGUGUUGCCUUUGGGGUCUGAUUCAAAUUCUGCUAAACCAGCAUAACAACCCCCCCUUGAUCUAACAGGCUUUGGACCAGCCUCCCAUCUCUUUGAGACAGCAGGUCAUAUAUCUGACUAAAGGCUUGAAAACAGUGGGCUUGAGCUACUUUUCACAUGGGAAUACCUUGCAGGCAGUAAAGAGCAGAUGGAAAAGAUCAGCAUAAAGGAAAUGAAGUGC
ensembl:lncRNA